rnacentral:rRNA from 1 species
AUUGGAAGUAAAAGUCGUAACAAGGUUUCCGUAGGUGAACCUGCGGAAGGAUCAUUACAGAGUUCAUGCCCUCACGGGUAGAUCUCCCACCCUUGAAUAUUUUAUACCUUAGUUGCUUUGGCAGGCCGUGGAAACACCAUGGGCUCCGGCUUAUGCGUGCCUGCCAGAGGAAACAAACUCUGUUUUUAGUGAUGUCUGAGUACUAUAUAAUAGUUAAAACUUUCAACAACGGAUCUCUUGGUUCUGGCAUCGAUGAAGAACGCAGCGAAAUGCGAUAAGUAAUGUGAAUUGCAGAAUUCAGUGAAUCAUCGAAUCUUUGAACGCACAUUGCGCCCCGUGGUAUUCCGCGGGGCAUGCCUGUUCGAGCGUCAUUUCAACCCAUCAAGCUUCUGCUUGGUCUCGGGGCCUGCGGUUUCGCAGCCUCUAAACUCAGUGGCGGUGCUAUUGAGCUCUGAGCGUAGUAAUUUUUCUCGCUAUAGGGUCUCGGUAGUUACUUGCCAGUAACCCCCAAUUUUUAUCAGGUUGACCUCGGAUCAGGUAGGGAUACCCGCUGAACUUAAGCAUAUCAAUAAGCGGAGGAAAUC